rnacentral:lncRNA from 1 species
UGACAUUAAUGAGUGAGUGUGAUGUUCUAGGUAUACUUUCAGGUACCUUAAAUGUAAUAAUUUAUGGAAAGCUCACAAUAGCUCUACCCUCAUUUUGCAGAUGAGGAGAUUGAGGCUCAGAGGGACUAAGCAACCUUCCCAAAGUUUCCCAUCUGUAUGGGUAUUGUAUAAUGAAGAUCCAGGAUACUGCAAAGCCAAUUAAACACAAAGGACAUAACUUUCACCUCAGGAGAUGCACACGUGCCCACAAAACCCGCCACUGAGCUGCCUCUUUCUCUAUGUCUGCAUUUCAGACCAUCUCUAAAACAUUCGUGGGCAGCUCAUAAUUCUUGCCAAAUCCAUAUUUAACCUUCUGCAGCCACAUUAGUGGACAUGGCUUCAGC